UCCUUUCUCCUCACGCACGCGGCGCCGUUUCUCCUCUCGGGCGAAAACCCCAGCCAAGGCUAGGGUUCCUCCCUCCGGCGUCGGCGAGGUGUUUUCCGGCCGAUCUCCACCCGUGGGUGACCUUUCCGGCAAGGAAAGCUAGGGGAACACAAGGAAAAGGGAGAAACCGAAGCUCUACCGAAAACCUAGGGCGCUCCUCGGGUUGUAAGUCCAAGAAUACCGUUAUACAGAUAAAAAUAAAGGAAAGGCUAAAGUGGUGUAGAAGAAGGCGACAAGGAGACGUUGAUGGUGUGUGUGGUGGCUGUUAUGGAAGUUUGGGACCUUGCUAAGAAAUUGCUGCAAGUUAAUUUAAUUAGUUUUCUUCUUAAAUAACUAGGAGAAUUUAGAGAAAUACAGAUUCUUUUGCUCUUUCUGUUUUGCUGUUUUGAAGUUGUUCAAAUGCUUUUGUUCUGUUGAAUUUCUGGAAUCAUUCGGAUGUUAAAUGCUUAUGUUCAUUA